GAAAAUGUUUUCCAUGUUUGAUAUAAUUCCUUCUAUUUUCAAAGAUUCCAACCAGAAGCGUGCACAUAAUAAAGAAUUAAAUUGAUUGCAACACUCUCACAUAACAGUUUCACCCACUAUAACAUUAUCCAAGAAGACAUGUUGCACCAUUAUAUGAUUUCUCUACUCCUUCUCAACCUCCCUAAUCUAUGACAGAUUCUUUAAUCUAACUGUAAUUAGUCUUUUUCCCUCAAUACUUCAAGACUCGAAGUGCACAUCAACAGGCCGGCGGCUAUUGACCACUCUGCAAUUGGUUCUGAUCUCUCCAGGCCUCCCAGACUGCAAGUCACCCAUCUUUAUCAUUCCCUCAACAAAGGCCUUGAAAAAAGCAUGUUGGUCCUUGGAAAACAAUCUCACAUACUCGCUUGUUUGAGGAAAUGUGAAAAGUGUUUGAUCAGAAUUAAGAAACCCUCUUCCUGCAACCAAGUCCUCGAAAUAUACAUUAUCAAACGUAAUUGGUGUUGCAUCAAGGUCUCCUGUCACAUUUCCAUCUCCACCAAGGGGACACAGUUCGUUUAGUUUUUGUCUGUAUCUUGGCUCAAUGGUUGGAUCUGGUUUGCCUGUUCCAGAUUGAUUAUAGAGCCUAAACACUAUAGAGAAACACCUAGCUUGACCAAUGGAAUGUGACCCUGAAAGGGCUACAAGAUCCUUGAUAGAGAGAUUGAAUCUUGCGAAGAGGUCUAUGAGAAGGCUUGCAUUGGCUCUUGGACUUGGCAUGAUAUUGUUCGAGUCUUCUUGGCUCGCUGUCAAGCUAUCUUGUCUCCCUAACUUCACCUUCCAGUCAGGUCCUCCAGUCUGGUAAACAAGACAAAUUGACAGAAGGAAAAAUACAAUUUUCAGAUAAAAAUCAUAACCAACUACUGCUAAAAUGUGGGCUUCAUCAAGCCCUCUUACCAUCUUCCAUUCCCAGACUAUGUAAAAGAGUGGUCUCAUUGGCGAGAAAUUAUUGUAUACAAAUGUACAACACAUAGAUUGAUGAGACUUACAUGAUACCCAGCAUGAUCAAUGGUAACCUGUGCACUAUUUUCGUGUAAAGAUUAAUGCUGUAAUAAUUGACUAGUUGAAAAAAGUCGAACAAAAAGGACCUAUCUCACAGAAUAGUCGGUGAGAAUACCUCAAUAGCUAAAGAACCAAUAAUCAUGUGUAUUAGGGCCAAGUUGAUGGGUUAUAUAGAGAGAGAAAAUCAACCAAAGAUCAAAGUUAGCAAGAAUAAAUUACCAGAGCAACAGCAUCUCUAGCAGCCAUGACAAUUAUAUCUGCACAAGAAACAGUUCCUGGACAGACCUUCUCUAACUUUUCCUUGAUUUCGUCUAUAACUUCAUAAGACCUCAGAGAAUUUAUAUUGGAAAGAGCAAGUUUCUCUCCUAGCAUGGUUGAUGUAUCAUCCAGCAAAACAGAAGCAUCACAACCCUUUUACGAGAAAUGCAAAACAAGAAUUGGAAUUUCAAAAAUAAAAUCAGAUAAAAUCAAGAAACAUUGAUUAAAUAUCUUAAUUGACAUAAAAAAAAAAUGAAAGGGUAGAGAGCUUUUUGGUUAUGCACUAUAGUUUUUUACAUUAACAAAGCAAUCAUGGAAUUGAAAGCGCAUGACGGAGGCAACACUUCUUGGUUCUCUAAUCAUAGCCUUCCUCAUCACUUUCCUCACUAUUAAUUCAGCUUCCGGGCAUGUCCGAAAGUAGAAUUCUGGCCGGAGUGGCGCUGCAGAGGCCAUGGCUGCCAGUAGAAGAAAGGCUGUAAAGAGAGGAGACAUGUUUUGGGCACCAGCUUAGAGUGUAUGAGAUGUGGUCUAAUUUUGGUGCUUGCUAUGAGCUUAUAGGCUUAAUGGACUGAUGGGUGGAUGUAUGUGUAUGUAAUGGAUGGAACAAAAUCAUCUAUGCAUAUGGGUAUGACAUGUGUUGAUGGGUAUAGAAGAG
rnacentral:misc_RNA from 1 species